rnacentral:rRNA from 1 species
UUCAGUACAAAUAAUAUGCUGCCUCAGUAAGCAUCUAACUAAAGGACAAAAAGACCCUUUGAAGCUUUAUAGGGAUAAAACUUGGGUAAGAUAUCUAUUCUGCUGGUAUUUCCUUUUUGCGUGUAGUGCUAAAGUAAACAUUAAUACACCCUAGCUUACUGUUUAAUUGGGGCGAUAAACUGUGUGAAAUUGUUAUCAGUACAAAUAAUAUGCUGA